rnacentral:lncRNA from 1 species
UUGAGAAAUCCUAGGAGUGGAAUCCUCUCCCGAAGAGUUUAAAGGUAAGAGGGGCUGCUUCCCUUUCUUUGAGUGGUGAUGAAGGGAAGCGGGAGGAGACAUUCGAUGAUGGUGAGUGGUACGGUGAGAGCAUCGGGAUGGUUGCGACUCGACAUGGUGGGAAUGUUGAGUCAGUUGUUUGCCCGAUGAAGAGGAUCACUAUGGAGUGUGGUGACUGUGCCUUGAAGGCACGGUGCCUACUCCUCCAUCGGAGGUUGUUGUUGCUACUACUGCUG